rnacentral:tRNA from 3 species
GGGCCUAUAGCUCAGCUGGUUAGAGCACUUGACUCAUAAUCAAGGGGUCCCUGGUUCGAGCCCAGGUGGGCCCAC